rnacentral:lncRNA from 1 species
CUGGAGGAGUGAAGGCAGGGAUAGAGAGUGUUUUGGGUGCUAACAGAGAAGGUAGGCAUGGAAGGGUGGAUUGUGUGUACUCUGGAAAUUAGGGAGUAGGAAAGAGAGGCCUGUAGUGCGUGGGUGUGAGGGAUCGGGAUAGAGGUGUAUUGGUGUAGAUGUGUGGUGUGCGGGUGUGAGUUGCAUGUGCAUAUAGGUUGGUAUAGCUGCUGUAAAUUUAGAAGUUUGGUAAGUGAAUG